UUAAAUUGAAGAGUUUGAUCAUGGCUCAGAUUUAACGCUGGCGGCAGGCCUAACACAUGCAAGUCGAACGGUAACAGGAAGAAGCUUGCUUCUUUGCUGAC
rnacentral:rRNA from 1 species